GCUCGCUGCGCAGCCGGUUCUCCUGCGCCCGCAGCUCACGCCAGCGGCCCCGCAGACGUUCGAGGCGCUCGGUGAGCG
rnacentral:tRNA from 1 species